AGAGAGAGACAUGCGCGCAUAUCAAUAAGCGGAGGAAAAGAAACUAACAAGGAUUCCCCUAGUAACGGCGAGUGAAGCGGGAAGAGCUCAAAUUUGAAAUCUUAAAGGGUUUCCCUUUACGAAUUGUAGUUUAAAGAAGUGUUUUCUGUUGAGGUUUUGGUAAAAGUUCUUUGGAAUAGGACAUCAUAGAGGGUGAGAAUCCCGUAUUUGACCUUUACUUUCAACUUUGUGAUACACUUUCAAAGAGUCGGAUUGUUUGGGAAUGCAGUCCAAAAUGGGUGGUAAAUUUCAUCUAAAGCUAAAUAUUGGCGAGAGACCGAUAGCGAACAAGUACCGUGAGGGAAAGAUGAAAAGAACUUUGAAAAGAGAGUUAAACAGUACGUGAAAUUGUCAAAAGGGAAGCGUUUGACACCAGUGUUGUUUUUCUGAAAAUCAAUUAAAGAACUGUUUAUGCUAAGUUGUUUAGACUCUAUCAGCUAACUGUUUAGUUUUGAGCUUUUCUUUAAUGCACUUUUCAGUUAACAAGUCAACAUCAAUUUCUUCUGCUGUAAAAAAGCUUGAGGAAGGUGGCUUGAGAUUCGUCUUAAGUGUUUAUAGCCUCUCGCCUAUGCAGUCGGAGAGAUUGAGGUCUGCAGCGUAGAUCCUUCGGGGCUAAAUGCGUUUGUGCUAAGUUAUAGCAUUUUAUAGACAACUUGUUGACUAUGAUUUGUCUUGUAGCUUACUCGCUUAUGUUAUUUUACCUACGCUUAGGAUGUUGAGCGCAUGUCUCUCUCU
rnacentral:rRNA from 1 species